rnacentral:rRNA from 1 species
AGAGCGAACGCUGGCGGCAGGCCUAACACAUGCAAGUCGAGCGCGUGUAGCAAUACACGAGCGGCAGACGGGAGAGUAACACGUGGGAACGCGCCCUUCGGUUCGGAAUAACUCAGGGAAACUUGAGCUAAUACCGGAUACGCCCUUACGGGGAAAGAUUUAUUGCCGAAGGAACGGCCCGCGUCCGAUUAGCUAGUUGGUGAGGUAACGGCUCACCAAGGCGACGAUCGGUAGCUGGUCUGAGAGGAUGACCAGCCUCACUGGGACUGAGACACGGCCCAGACUCCUACGGGAGGCAGCAGUGGGGAAUAUUGGACAAUGGGCGCAAGCCUGAUCCAGCCAUGCCGCGUGGAUGAUGAAGGCCUUAGGGUUGUAAAGUCCUUUUAACGGGAAGAUAAUGACGGUACCGUAGAAUAAGCCCGGCUAACUUCGCGCCAGCAGCCGC